GCCCCCACCCCAACCCGACGGCUUAGACCGGUCCCCGCCCAGCCGGCUUCCGCCGGGAAUGAAGAGCGGUGGGGUUGGCGCUGGUCCCGCGGACCCCACACUUUACCGCGGAGCGCCCCAGCCAAUUCCAACAGAUCCCCCCGCCGUUCUGAGCCCGGCCGCGUGCACUCCCAUUGUCUUUAAGGCGGUGGGAGCUGGGGAGCGUGUGCGAGGCCUCUGCUGAUGCUGAGGCUGCCCUUGUUCCAUCUUCGCACGGUGAGUCUCCUGCCCCAUGGAGGUACCCGCAGCGGCCGCGGCAAGCGGAAAGGAUCAUGCGGCCAAAGACCACCCCAAAGAUGCUAAGGUCUUGGCGCCAACUGGGGAUCUGCCGGCCAAAACGUCAUCCCCGCACAAAAGUGGACACACGCUGCAUGACUGGGACACCUUAGCCACUGUAGGCACUGGAACAUUUGGCCGAGUGAACCUGGUGAAGGAGAGAUCAAGCAGGCGAUACUAUGCCUUGAAGAUCAUGAACAUCCCAGAUGUCAUCCGCCUGAAGCAAGAACAGCAUGUUCAGAAUGAAAAAGCCGUCCUCAAGGAAAUUAACCAUCCCUUCCUUGUUAAACUAUUCUGGACUGGCCAUGACAACCGCUUUCUGUACAUGCUGAUGGAGUUCGUGCCCGGAGGAGAGCUGUUCACCUACCUGAGGAACCGUGGCCGUUUCUCCUCAGUUGCUGGACUGUUCUAUGCCACCGAGAUCGUAUGUGCCAUUGAAUACUUACAUGCCAAGGAGAUUGUUUAUAGGGAUCUGAAGCCUGAAAACAUUCUUCUAGAUCGUGAAGGACACAUCAAACUCACUGAUUUCGGCUUCUCAAAAAAACUGGUGGAUAGAACAUGGACUCUCUGUGGGACACCGGAAUAUCUCGCCCCAGAAGUCAUCCAAAGCAAAGGCCACGGGAGGGCAGUGGACUGGUGGGCACUAGGCAUCCUUAUAUUCGAGAUGCUGUCUGGGUUUCCUCCAUUUUUUGAUGACAACCCGUUUGGAAUUUAUCAGAAAAUUCUUGCCUGUAAGAUCGACUUCCCCAGACACUUGGAUUUCACCUCCAAGGACCUCAUCAAAAGGCUGCUGGUGGUAGACAGGACCCGGCGCCUCGGCAGCAUGAAGAAUGGGGUUGAAGACAUCAAACGACACCGAUGGUUCCGGGGUGUGGACUGGGAGUCUGUGCCACAUAAGAAGCUAAAGCCACCCAUUGUGCCCAAGGUAACGGGUGAUGGCGAUACCUCCAACUUUGAGACAUAUCCAGAAAGUGAGUGGGACAAGAUCCUUCCCGUAUCCGACAAAGAACUGGAAAUAUUCAAAAAUUUCUGAGGACAGGAACGCACAUCUGCAAGGUGAAACUUGUUUUUUCUGAAUUUUAAGGAGCAUGAGAAAUUCCAUCCUGUGCCGAGGACCAGAACCAAUUCCGUUGCUUGUCUCUUGCCUUCUUGAUGAAAAACUAGAAGGAUUUAGUGUAUGUAACCACCAUUCCUUCGAUCCUGAGGAUCAUUGUCCGUAGGACUUGGCUAGAAGGAUUUAGUGUAUGUAACCACCAUUCCUUCGAUCCUGAGGAUCAUUGUCCGUAGGACUUGGCCUCUUUUGACAACUCAAAACCUGCCUAGUGGGAAGUUCUUAAUACCUGUUAAAGUGUAGCUUUGUCCCUUC